rfam:Lupinus angustifolius cultivar Tanjil chromosome LG07, whole genome shotgun sequence.
GGGCUGUGACGAUUCUUAGAGAUAGUCAUGCACCACUCUGAUUUUCAAUGCUGAUAAUUUUCUCAUACCCAUUUAUCUGAGCCC